rnacentral:rRNA from 1 species
GACGAACGCUGGCGGCGUGCCUAAUACAUGCAAGUUGAGCGCUGAAGGUUGGUACUUGUACCAACUGGAUGAGCAGCGAACGGGUGAGUAACGCGUGGGGAAUCUGCCUUUGAGCGGGGGACAACAUUUGGAAACGAAUGCUAAUACCGCAUAAAAACUUUAAACACAAGUUUUAAGUUUGAAAGAUGCAAUUGCAUCACUCAAAGAUGAUCCCGCGUUGUAUUAGCUAGUUGGUGAGGUAAAGGCUCACCAAGGCGAUGAUACAUAGCCGACCUGAGAGGAUGAUCGGCCACAUUGGGACUGAGACACGGCCCAAACGCCUACGGGAGGCAGCAGUAGGGAAUCUUCGGCAAUGGACGAAAGUCUGACCGAGCAACGCCGCGUGAGUGAAGAAGGUUUUCGGAUCGUAAAACUCUGUUGGUAGAGAAGAACGUUGGUGAGAGUGGAAAGCUCAUCAAGUGACGGUAACUACACAGAAAGGGACGGCUAACUACGUG